GGGGAAUAUUGCACAAUGGGGGAAACCCUGAUGCAGCAACGCCGCGUGAGUGAUGACGGUCUUCGGAUUGUAAAGCUCUGUCUUCAGGGACGAUAAUGACGGUACCUGAGGAGGAAGCCACGGCUAACUACGUGCCAGCAGCCGCGGUAAGACGUAGGUGGCAAGCGUUGUCCGGAUUUACUGGGUGUAAAGGGAGCGUAGGCGGAUUUUUAAGUGGGAUGUGAAAUACCCGGGCUCAACUUGGGUGCUGCAUUCCAAACUGGAAGUCUAGAGUGUUGGAGAGGAAAGUGGAAUUCCUAGUGUAGCGGUGAAAUGCGUAGAGAUUAGGAAGAAUACCAGUGGCGAAGGCGCCUUUCUGGACUGUAACUGACACUGAGGCUCGAAAGCGUGGGGAGCAAAC
rnacentral:rRNA from 1 species